GAUGAACGCUGGCGGCGUGCCUAAUACAUGCAAGUCGAGCGAACGGACGAGAAGCUUGCUUCUCUGAUGUUAGCGGCGGACGGGUGAGUAACACGUGGAUAACCUACCUAUAAGACUGGGGUAACUUCGGGAAACCGUAGCUAAUACCGGAUAAUAUUUUGAACCGCAUGGUUCAAAAGUGAAAGACGGUCUUGCUGUCACUUAUAGAUGGAUCCGCGCUGCAUUAGCUAGUUGGUAAGGUAACGGCUUACCAAGGCAACGAUGCAUAGCCGACCUGAGAGGGUGAUCGGCCACACUGGAACUGAGACACGGUCCAGACUCCUACGGGAGGCAGCAGUAGGGAAUCUUCCGCAAAGGGCGAAAGCCUGACGGAGCAACGCCGCGUGAGUGAUGAAGGUCUUCGGAUCGUAAAACUCUGUUAUUAGGGAAGAACAUAUGUGUAAGUAACUGUGCACAUCUUGACGGUACCUAAUCAGAAAGCCACGGCUAACUACGUG
rnacentral:rRNA from 1 species